rnacentral:rRNA from 1 species
GACGAACGCUGGCGGCGUGCCUAAUACAUGCAAGUAGAACGCACAGUUUAUACCGUAGCUUGCUACACCAUAAACUGUGAGUUGCGAACGGGUGAGUAACGCGUAGGUAACCUGCCUGGUAGCGGGGGAUAACUAUUGGAAACGAUAGCUAAUACCGCAUAAUAUUGAUUAUUGCAUGAUAAUUGAUUGAAAGAUGCUAUUGCAUCACUACCAGAUGGACCUGCGUUGUAUUAGCUAGUAGGUGAGGUAACGGCUCACCUAGGCGACGAUACAUAGCCGACCUGAGAGGGUGAUCGGCCACACUGGGACUGAGACACGGCCCAGACUCCUACGGGAGGCAGCAGUAGGGAAUCUUCGGCAAUGGACGAAAGUCUGACCGAGCAACGCCGCGUGAGUGUAGAAGGUUUUCGGAUCGUAAAGCUCUGUUGUAAGAGAAGAACGGGUGUGAGAGUGGAAAGUUCACACUGUGACGGUAUCUUACCAGAAAGGGACGGCUAACUACGUG